AUUGAACGCUGGCGGCAGGCCUAACACAUGCAAGUCGAGCGAGAGGCGGGCGGGUGAGUAAUGUAUCGGGGAUGCCCCAUAGAGGGGGAUAACUACUGGAAACGGUGGCGCAUACCGCAUACUGUCUCAUUACCCAUAUGGGAUUAGCUAGUAGGUAAGGUAAUGGCUUACACAGGCGACGAUCCCUAGCUGGUCUGAGAGGGGGAUCAGCCACACUGGGACUGAGACACGGCCCAGACUCCUACGGAGGCAGCAGUGGGGAAUAGUGCACAAUGGGCGCAAGCCUGAUGCAGCCAUGCCGCGUGUAUGAAGAAGGCCCUAGGGUUGUAAAGUACUUUCAGUCGGGAGGCGUUACCGACAGAAGAAGCACCGGCUAACUCCGUGCCAGCCGCCGCGGUAAUUC
rnacentral:rRNA from 1 species